GAUGAACGCUGGCGGCGUGCCUAAUACAUGCAAGUCGAGCGAACAGACGAGGAGCUUGCUCCUCUGACGUUGGCGGCGGACGGGUGAGUAACACGUGGAUAACCUACCUAUAAGACUGGGAUAACUUCGGGAAACCGGAGCUAAUACCGGAUAAUAUAUUGAACCGCAUGGUUCACUAGUGAAAGACGGUUUUGCUUUCACUUAUAGAUGGCUACGCCCCGCAUGAGCUAGUUGGUAAGGUAAUGGCUUACCAAGGCAACGAUGCUAAGACGACCUGAGAGGGACAACCGCCAGACGGGAACUGAGAAUGGGUACAGACUCUUACGGUAGGAAGCAGUAGGGAAUCUUACGCGAGGGGCGAAAGCCGGACGGAGCAACGUCGCGGGAGUGAUGAAGGUGUUAGGAUGGUAAAACUCUGUUAUUAGUGAAGAAGAAAUGUUUAAGUAACUAUGCACAUAUUGACGGUACCUAAUCAGAAAGCCACGGCUAACUACGUG
rnacentral:rRNA from 1 species